rnacentral:rRNA from 1 species
GAUGAACGCUGGCGGCGUGCCUAAUACAUGCAAGUCGAGCGGAAGGACGGGAAGCGUGCGUCUCUGAUGUUAGCGGCGGACGGGCGGGUAACACGUGGAUAACCUACCUAUAUGACGGGGGUGACUUCGGGAAACCGGAGCUAAUACCGGAUGAUAUUUUCUACCGCAGGGUUCAAAAGUGAAAGACGGUCUUGCUGUCACAUAUAGAUGGAUCCGCGCUGCAUUAGCGAGUUGGUAAGGUAACGGCUUACCAAGGAAACGAUGCAUAGCCGAGCUGAGAGGGUGAUCGGCCACACUGGAACUGAGACACGGUCCAGACUCCUACGGGAGGCAGCAGUAGGGAAUAUUCGACAAUGGGCGAAAGCCUGACGGAGCAAUGCCGCGUGAGUGAUGAAGGUCUUCGGAUUGUAAAGCCCUGUUAUUAGGGAAGAACAUCUGUGUAAGUAACUGUGGCCAUCCUGACGGUACCUAAAGAGAAAGCCCCGGCUAACUACGUG